GCCUAUAGCUCAGUUGGUUAGAGUAGCGGACUCAUAAUCCGUUGGUCCCUGGUUCGAGCCCAGGUG
rnacentral:tRNA from 1 species